UACAAAAGUAAAUGCGAAUGUGAUGUGGUUGGAUUGGAGAGCAUAUUGGAAAAUUAAACAGCUGCAACUUUUAGUACGAAUACUGAAGGCGCUGCAGGAUUCAUGCGGGUUUCAUAUUGUCAACAGUUUUUCGCAUUUAUUUUGAGAAGAAAUUUUUAUUAAUUAUAAUACUUGAUACAUAAAUGGUCUAUAAGUGAUAUAAAGAAGUUGACAAUGAAUUUAUAAGAGUGCAUGUGAGAAAAGUUUAAGGUAAAAGGUGACAAGGCAGUGAAAAUUUAUUGAAAGCCACGGAAGUGGUAGCAACAACUAUGCGCAUAAAAACAUACAUAGAUAAAGUGUAUGGCCAUAUAGGAAAGCGUCAUGAAUAGUUAGUUGAGCGCAGCACCCUACAAAAACAACAGAGUGCGAAGUGAGAGCUCAACGAGCAACGGGAGAGUUCAGUGAGUGUAUUUUGAAUGAAUAAACACACGCACAUGCACAAGUGUACGCAUACAAUACGACUGGCUUAUCAAUGUGUCUGUACAUAUGUCUAAAUUUCUGAAAGAGUGUGUGAUAUUUGUGCACCACAACAGCAUCAGGCGAUGAAGCGUUGACUUAUGCACUACAACCGUGUUGAUAGCGUACGCAAAAGCUAAAAAACAAAAAAAAAAACGAAAACACGUCCACUAGUAUAAAUAAAAGACGCCAUAAGCCAUAAAACUCACAGAAAAAUUCAUAGGUGCAAUAAUGUGUGUGAAAAUAUGCAGUUAUAGCGUGCUUAGAAGCAAUUAAUACGGGCAUUUGGCUAGUGAUUUUGUGCUUCAUACAUAUAUGUAUACAGUUAAUUAGCUACAAUACAGCAACAACGAUACGAAAGCACCUGUACACAAGGGAGACUAUUCGAUAAGAACUUAAACUCACCCAAUAUCCAACCUAACUAACCCAUCUUAAUAUACGUGUCAGGUGAGGUGAAAAUUGAACUUGACUGUGGCAGUGGCGCAACAACAAGAGGGCGAGAUUUGAAGCAAAACAACAAAGGCGCUUCGUAUUGUAAUGUAAGUACGUGCUGCGUGUAUAUGUGUGUGUGUGCACAAAGAUCCUGUUGCUUGAUUGUCAACAUGCAUUGGCAGGGCAUGCCUCAAUAGGCGCUCGAAGGACUGACUCAUUGGCAUGCCUCCUAUGUAGUGCAUAUGGAUGUAUGUAUGUCUACUGCUUAAUGGCUUCUCGGCCACAAAAGUUCAUUUGAACUAAUGUCUUGGUACUACAGCAAAUGAGGUGCGUGUACUGAAUUAAUUUAAUUGUAGAUAACAAUAUAUGUAAAAGCACACAUUCCCACCAUAUUGCUGCAAGGAUAAGCCUUACACAUGUGUGUGUGUAUGUUGUAACACACUAGUAUUUGAAUAAGAAAAAUUCUAGUCAUCAAAUAUAAAUUCAUUGUACUUGUAUAUGUACAUAUAUGCGUCGCCAGUUCUUGUUCUUGCGCGCAAGCAACUUCUCAAACGUUUUACCUGCGAAUACAGUAGUCGGCUUUACUUACACAAAUGCAUAUGUACAUUCAUAGAUUACAUACAUCUAUGCAUACGAAUGAUUUUAAGUAAGCAUAUGUAACUACACAAGCAAGACGAGCCAGCCAGGCCGAGCCAAGCAACCACUCAAUCAUCCAGCCCACCUAGUGAAGUGCGAAGAGACUUGCACAACUGUCGACCAGUCGAGCAGUCAACCACCCACCAAAACAUUCAGUCAUCACAGCCAUUGCCCGGCAGAGUAGCAGCAGCCUUCGCCUGUCAACCGUGCCGCACGGCAAACAGACGACGUGUCAGACAUUAGACGUCAGUCAUCAGUCGCCAGCCGCCAGUCGUCAUCAACCGUCAAACGCCUUUUGCCACCGCAUUCGCUUUGUCAAUGCAAAAACUUGCACAACAGUUACAGUGUGAAACACACCACUAAAGCGCCAGCUGGACGUAAGCCGAGUGAGAAGAAGAAGAAACUGAUUUUACGAUCCAUAGUCUCAUAGCGUUCACAAGAAACCUUAGAAAACGAACUUACACACGUGUCGUGGUUUGGUUUUUUUGUAUUAUGUUUUAUUGAAAGGACUUGCCAACAUCAACGUUUCGCGUAAGCCGCACAGCUGUUCAUUGUUAGCAAAGUGUUUCGUUUCCGUUGCGAGUCUCGACCCCUGCCAACAAUCCAACAGCGCAGCAGGCAGUCAGGAGUGAAUAACCAGUUCGAGUCUUAUUUAACCAACUCAACACGCCAGCCAAAGUCAGCGGAUCUGAUGCCUUUGUAUGGACUGGCAAGUGCCUUCAACUCAACUAAUUCGAAACCUUUUCGGAUGUAUGGGACACGAAGAUGGAGACCUGCUUAAGAUAAUAUAAAAUACGCACGCUCCCUAAUUCUGAAAGAGGGACAAUUAAGGGAUCCAAUAAGCGUAAAAUCUGGAGUUAAACAAGGCUGUGCGCUUUCUUUCACUCUCUAUAACAUUGUGCUAGACGUCAUUUUUGGCCGACAUCUAGUUAAUCAGAGAGGCUCUAGUUAAUCAUGGGGUCUCCGUAGAUGCUCGAUGACGCCGACGAUAUUUACAUCCUUGCGCAAAACUAUAACGACAUGGUAGGAAAACUCGAAUCAAUAUCAAAACAUCCAAAGAGGACCUCAAUAUCCAUGUCUCUAAAACUAAGGUCAUGCGCAUAAAUACAAACAGCACCCGUCCAUUCCUACUAAACUCAAUACCUAUAGAGGAAUUUCAAAGUUUCUGCCAUCUACAAUGCAUUAUUUCGACCUCUGGUAGCUACGCCGAAGAUAAUGAAAGCUCUAAAUCUAUACCGAGGCACUAAAUUAAGAAUAUUUAAUUCCAACAUCAUAUUUGUUUUACUAUACGGUUGUGAAACAUGGGAUCCUGCAUCACGGCUAAUAAAACACUUGUAAUCUUUUACAAAUCGUUGCCUUAUGUUGCUCACACUCACCAACGUAAAAGUAGGCCCGUAUCAGCUGACACGAUGAAAGAACCAUCUACGAUACUACGGAACGGAACGGUGGUGAGAAGUCCCAUAUAAGUUUCAUCGUGUCAGCUGAUAUGGGCGUACGUUUACGUUGGUGAGUGUGAGCCUAAUGGUAGGCGUAUACUAAAGAUAAGGUAGCCAGAAAUUAUAUCCCACGUCAGGCUGUGGGGACUAACUGACCAUACGCUCAUCAAAACAAAUGCUCUGAAAAGAAAAUGGAAUUGUAUCGGUCAUACGCUUAGAAAACCUGUACAAGGUAUUACAAGGAAAGCCAUCGAAUGAAACCCACAGGGAUCACGCAGAAGGGGACGUCCAACGCACACUUCUAGAAGCCUUCUGAAUUAAACUGCAACGAACUGAAAAUAGUCUCAUUGGAUAGGGAUAGAUUUAAGAGUUUGGUUGUGGCCCUCACUAUGAAG